UACGGAGGGGGCUAGCGUUGUUCGGAAUUACUGGGCGUAAAGAGCUCGUAGGCGGUGUGUCGCGUCGGCCGUGAAAACCUGCAGCUUAACUGUGGGCUUGCGGUCGAUACGGGCAUCACUGGAGUUCGGCAGGGGAGACUGGAAUUCCUGGUGUAGCGGUGAAAUGCGCAGAUAUCAGGAGGAACACCGGUGGCGAAGGCGGGUCUCUGGGCCGAUACUGACGCUGAGGAGCGAAAGCGUGGGGAGCGAACAGG
rnacentral:rRNA from 1 species